rnacentral:lncRNA from 1 species
GUCUUCCUACCCAGCGCCGCGGCUCUCGGAGGCUGCCAGUGGCUGGGUGCGCCUGGCCUGAGUCCUCCACCCGAAGAAAAUAAGGAACCUGGCCAGAGAGAGGCAAAAGGAAGAGUCUGCUCCUCAUGUUCCUUCUUGCUGUGGUUUUACCCUCGCCACUUAUUUCGUGGUCAUUCAUUGGUGAGUAUUUGAGCAACGUUCAUAACAUGACUGGGGGCCCUUGACAGUGAUCGGAUGUGCGGAAACGUAGGUAAAAGCUCACUCAACAGUGAGCGAGACUUCACUGGAUUAAAAAAAUAGUCCAUUUCCUUUUUUUUUUUAACUUUUACUUUCAGUUCAGGGGUACAUGUGCAGGUUUGUUACAUAGGUAAACUUGUGUCAUGGGGUUUGCUGUACAGAUGAUUUCAUCACCCAGGUAUUAAGCCUAGUACCCAUUAGUUAUUUCUCCUGAUCCUCUCCCUCCUUCCACCUUCCAUCCUCUGAUAGGAACCAGUGUAUGUUGUUCCCCUCUAUGUGCCCAUAUGUUCCCAUCAUUUAGCUCCCACUUAUAAGCGAGAACAUGCAGUAUUUAAUUUUCUCUUCCUGUGCUAGUUUGCUAAGGAUGAUGGCCUCCAGCUCCAUCCAUGUCUCUGCAAAAGACAUGAUCUCAUUCUUUUUUAUGGCUGCAUGGUUGUCCGUGGUGUGUAUGUACCACAUUUUCUUUAUCCAGUCUACCAUUGAUGGGCAUUUAGUAGAUUCCAUGUCUUUGCUAUUGUGAACAGUGCUGCAAUCAUAUGAAAAAAGCUUAAUAUUACUGAUCAUUAGAGAAAUGCAAAUCAAAACCACAAUGAGAUACCAUCUCACACCAGUCAGAGUGGCUAUUAUUAAAAAGUCAAAAAAUAACAGAUGCUGGCGAGGUUGCAGAGAAAAAGGAAUGUUUUUACACUGUUGGCAGGAGAGCAAAUUAAUUCACUAGUUGUUGAAGACAGUGUGGCAAUUCCUCAAAGGCCUAAAAACAGAAAUAUCAUUUGACUCAGCAAUCCCAUUACUGGAUAUAUACCUAACGGAAUGUAAAUUUUUCUAUUAUAAAGACACAUGCACACAUAUUGGCCGGGCGUGAUGGCUUACACCUCUAAUCCCAGCACUUUGGGAGGCUGAGGCAGGCAGAUCAUUUGAGGUCAGGAGUUCGAGACCAGCCUGGCCAACAUGGCUAAACCUCAUCUCUACUAAAAAUACAAAAAUUAGUCAGGCAUGGUGGUGCAUGCCUGUUGUCUCAGCUACUCAGGAGGCUGAGGUGGGAGGAUUGCUUGAACCCAGGAAACAGAGGUUGCAGUGAGCCGAGAUCAUGCCACUGCACUCCAGCCUGGGUGACAGAGUAAGACUCUGUCUCAAAAAAAAAAAAAAAAAAAAAGACACAUGCAUCUAUGGUCCAUUUACUUUUGCCUGUUCAAUGAGAUAACCAAUUGUGCCACUAGCAAGAAUGAAGCUAGUUCUUCUCAAAUGCUCAGCUUUGUGCUUCGAAAAUGAGAAGAGACACAGGCCCUGCCUCCCUGAGAACACCUCUUGACAAAUGGAUUUCUGAAAAGGAAUUCAUUCAGUUAUUCAACACAGAUGUUUACGUGCCAGAUACUAUUGUAGGCAUUUGAGAUACAGCAGUGACCAAAACAGACAUCAAUCCCUGCCCUGGUGAACAUUCGUCCAAGUUGUGCACAAAUACAUUUUUAUUAAUGAAAGGAGGUUUUUCAACUCCCAGGGGGUGACUGUUACUUAAGGAAAGCUGACUGUGGAUUCUUCUCUUCUUCUUUUUAUUUAUUUAUUUAUUUAUUUGAGACAGAGUCUCACUCUGUUGCCCAGGCUAGAGUACAGUGGCACGAUCUCAGCUCACUGCAGCCUCUGCCUCCUGGGUUCAAGUGAUUCUCCUGCCUUAGCCUCCCAAGUGGCUGGGAUUACAGGCAUACGCCAUCAUACCAGGCUAAUUUUUGUAUUUUUAGUAGAAACAGGGUUUCACUAUGUUGGCCAGCCUGGUCUCGAACUCCUGGCCUCAAGUGAUCCACCCACCUCGGCCUCCCAAAGUGCUCGGAUUACAGGCAUGAGCCACUGCACCUGGCCGGAUUCUUAUCUUCUCUUAAGAAAAGACCCUUUCUGUGCCCAUGCCAGGGGUCCCCUGGUGAUGGGAGGCAGUAGAGGUUGCUGAUCAGUGGCCAUGGAGGACCAGGUGACCAAAAGCUGGGAGGCAAGAAGGCAGUAGGGUGCAGGACUGAGGCUCCAAUCCUGGUGCACGUUCCAUUGUCCCGCUGGACUUCGCUUACAAAACACAAAUUCAAGGUUGGGCAUGGUGGCUUGCGCCUAUAGUCCCAUCCACUUGGGAGGCUGAGGCUGGAGGAUCACUUGUGCCCAGGAGGUGCAGGCUGCAGUGAGCCAUGGGUGCAACACUGUUCUCCAGCCUGAGUAACAGACCAUGACCUUGGCUUCAAAACAAACCAACAAACAAAACAUAAAGUCAAAGAUCAAAUUAGUAAGAUUUUAAAUGAAUAAUUAAUUAAACCCCAAGUGCUAGGGGAAUGUGAAAACUUCCAAAUGCUGGGACUUUCUGAACAUGUGGGGCCCUGAGUGACUAUCCCGGUUACUCAAGCUGGCCCUGCCCAGAGCUGUUAACUGGUAUGUUCUACAGGGAUGGUAUCUCUCUUCCUACCUUGCAGCUAUGCUGUGAAGAGUAAGAGGAAGUAUUCUGAAAAGUGCAAGGUCUUAUACUGAGGUAAGACACUCUAUUGUUUUGUUUUGAGACAGAGUCUAGCUCUGUCACCCAGGCUGUUGUGCAGUGGCUGGAUCUUGGCUCACUGCAACCUCCGCCUCCCGGGGUUCUAGCGAUUCUCCUGCCUCAGCCUCCUGAGUAGCUGGGACUACAGGCAUGCGCCACCAAACUUAGCUAAUUUUUGUAUUUUUAGUAGAGAUGGGGUUUCACUAUGUUGGCCAGGCUGGUCUUGAACUCCUGACCUCAGGUAAUCUGCCUGCCUCAGCCUCCCAAAGUGCUGGGAUUACAGGCAUGAGUCACUGUGCCCGGCCCACUCUAUUGCUUAAGUCUGAUUUUUUUACAUCUGGAUCAAGUUGGUUUACCAGAAAUCACAUGCAUGUGUUUGGUGUUCUGUGCCCCAUAGUGUAGAGUCAAUUUCCCAAUUCUAUGGGAACAGAUUAUCUUAGAGGCCAUAACAUGUUCUUUUAUAAAGGAGCCACAUAGCGGACUGCAGAAGAGCUCCAGGAUCAGCUUGGCCCACUAGUCUCCAUGAUCCUCUUAGUAUUACAGGAAAACUCCCUGAAGAGUUUUAGAACAUUUUCUUGGAAGUUUGUUGGUCUUGGUGGGUGGGGGCGAGGUGGCAGUGGUUUAACGUAGUGUUACUUAAAUCUGGAUUGAAUCCAGAGCUACUGCUUCCUAGCUGGGAGGCCUUGUGCAAGUUGUGUGAAUAAGCCUUUCUUCAUUUACAAUAAAAUAAGUGUGAUGUUAAUGAUACCUUCUUUAAAGUUUUCUUGUACAAAGCAACAGAGGAUUCUUUACAUUGUCAGGUAUGCAGUAGGUGCUCAGUAAGCAUUAGCUGUUACUAUUUUUAGCUUGGAGAGGCGCAAGCAAAGACUUUCAGAGUAAAAGAUAGUUUGUGCUGGUCGCUUAUUUGGUGAGUAUUAUUCCCACCGCCCAAAGUCAAGGAGAGGCCAAGUCUAGCUGGCUGCUAGAGACUCAAGUCUUUGGAUUUAUCCCAUGCACUUGAAAUUGUCCAUUCCAAGGUCUAUGUGGAGGGAGAGGAGAAAAAAAAACAAAAAACAAACAAAGAAAAAAAACCCAGAAACAAUAACCCAAGCAUCAUAACUCAAUUGAAAUCUUCACUUUUUCUAUUGUCACAGAAAGGCACAGAAGCAACACUGCAAAUAUCACAAAUCUCCAGCACCGUAUGCUGUUACUCUGAGCUGGAUUUUUUGUUCUUUUGUUUGCAUAGAUUAUUCUGCUUUUAAUCUUCAAAAUCUGCGCAUGAAAGGGGACUGCACAGAAUUUUUUUUUUCUUUUUGAGAUGGAAUCUCAUUCUGUCUGUCACUCAGGCUGGUGUGUGCAGUGGCAAGAUAUAGGCUCACGGCAACCUCUGCCUCCCUGGUUCCAGCGAUUCUCCUGCCUCAGCCUCCUAAGUAGCUGGGAUUACAGGCAUGGGUCACCACACCUGGC